CAAUUUUUUAUAUCACACAAGAAGCAAAGAUAAAUAUAGAACAUUAGCCUAAAUCGAUUUCACCGCUUCACACCACCCCUGUAGAUCGAUUUCACCAUUUCUCUCUGUAUUCUCUAUUUGUUCCAUAUUUAAGGCCUAAUUCGAUUUACGAAACGAAUGAUAUGUGUAUGGCUGUUACAAUUGUAGAAAGAAAAGAGAGAAAAGGAAUGCAGAGAUUGAAUAUGGAACAAAUAGACUAACUGUUCAAUUUUAUUUAUCGACCCUUUUCAUCUGUCAUCAUCAUCAUCAUCCUGUGUUGCCGCUUCUCCUUUUCCUUCUCCAUCGUCGAGAAAUCAGUUUUAAAACCCUAUCAGUAAGACCAACCCCUUCACCAGUUUGUCAUCGUCAAUCAAGGAACCCCUACCCCUUUUAAUGUUUGUUGCUUUGAAUUUGAAAGACACCUGCAUUUGUGUUUGAUAGCCGCAAGAAAAAAAUCAACAACCUUUUCCAAUUAUUCGAACCAAUUACCAGGAAUUGGUGGCUUAUUCAGGUGCAAGACAAUUGAGGAGUACAAUAUUGCUGCUUCUGAAUGGUUGGAAUAACGAGUUGAAGACAUGAUAGGAAUAACUGGAAGAAUGAAUAAAAGAUUGAUCACACUCACAAUUUAAGAAUGUUGUUAUUUUUUAAAGAAUUUUAUUCAUUUUUGUUGAUAUUUUUUUAGAAUAUGUAUAAUUAUAUUAAAAUGUAUAAGACUAUUAGUCUGU